AGAGUUUGAUCAUGGCUCAGAUUGAACGCUGGCGGCAGGCCUAACACAUGCAAGUCGAGCGGUAGCACAGAGAGCUUGCUCUCGGGUGACGAGCGGCGGACGGGUGAGUAAUGUCUGGGAAACUGCCUGAUGGAGGGGGAUAACUACUGGAAACGGUAGCUAAUACCGCAUAACGUCGCAAGACCAAAGUGGGGGACCUUCGGGCCUCAUGCCAUCAGAUGUGCCCAGAUGGGAUUAGCUAGUAGGUGGGGUAACGGCUCACCUAGGCGACGAUCCCUAGCUGGUCUGAGAGGAUGACCAGCCACACUGGAACUGAGACACGGUCCAGACUCCUACGGGAGGCAGCAGUGGGGAAUAUUGCACAAUGGGCGCAAGCCUGAUGCAGCCAUGCCGCGUGUGUGAAGAAGGCCUUCGGGUUGUAAAGCACUUUCAGCGGGGAGGAAGGCGGUGAGGUUAAUAACCUCACCGAUUGACGUUACCCGCAGAAGAAGCACCGGCUAACUCCGUGCCAGCAGCCGCGGUAAUACGGAGGGUGCAAGCGUUAAUCGGAAUUACUGGGCGUAAAGCGCACGCAGGCGGUCUGUCAAGUCGGAUGUGAAAUCCCCGGGCUCAACCUGGGAACUGCAUUCGAAACUGGCAGGCUAGAGUCUUGUAGAGGGGGGUAGAAUUCCAGGUGUAGCGGUGAAAUGCGUAGAGAUCUGGAGGAAUACCGGUGGCGAAGGCGGCCCCCUGGACAAAGACUGACGCUCAGGUGCGAAAGCGUGGGGAGCAAACAGGAUUAGAUACCCUGGUAGUCCACGCCGUAAACGAUGUCGAUUUGGAGGUUGUGCCCUUGAGGCGUGGCUUCCGGAGCUAACGCGUUAAAUCGACCGCCUGGGGAGUACGGCCGCAAGGUUAAAACUCAAAUGAAUUGACGGGGGCCCGCACAAGCGGUGGAGCAUGUGGUUUAAUUCGAUGCAACGCGAAGAACCUUACCUGGUCUUGACAUCCACAGAACUUUCCAGAGAUGGAUUGGUGCCUUCGGGAACUGUGAGACAGGUGCUGCAUGGCUGUCGUCAGCUCGUGUUGUGAAAUGUUGGGUUAAGUCCCGCAACGAGCGCAACCCUUAUCCUUUGUUGCCAGCGGUUCGGCCGGGAACUCAAAGGAGACUGCCAGUGAUAAACUGGAGGAAGGUGGGGAUGACGUCAAGUCAUCAUGGCCCUUACGACCAGGGCUACACACGUGCUACAAUGGCAUAUACAAAGAGAAGCGACCUCGCGAGAGCAAGCGGACCUCAUAAAGUAUGUCGUAGUCCGGAUUGGAGUCUGCAACUCGACUCCAUGAAGUCGGAAUCGCUAGUAAUCGUAGAUCAGAAUGCUACGGUGAAUACGUUCCCGGGCCUUGUACACACCGCCCGUCACACCAUGGGAGUGGGUUGCAAAAGAAGUAGGUAGCUUAACCUUCGGGAGGGCGCUUACCACUUUGUGAUUCAUGACUGGGGUGAAGUCGUAACAAGGUAACCGUAGGGGAACCUGCGGUUGGAUCACCU
rnacentral:rRNA from 1 species